AGCUUGGCUGGCCCCUGGGGCACAGCUCUGGGGCUUGUCAGAGGGAGUUAGCCUCACAAUAGCCUGCCUGGGUCCCAUCCAGCAGGCCUGGCUGGCCCUGCCACUGGCCACCAGGAGUCUGAGUAGAGUCCAGUCCAAGCCAGCCCUAGGCCAUGGGAUUUAGAGUGCAGAGCCUCUUGAAACAUGGACUGCUGGGGUCCUAGGAAAGGAGGGGGACCAUGAAUAGUGGAGCUGACUGCUAGGGAGCCAACCCAGUUGCAAGGCGAGGAGAGGGAGUCCUGAGCGCUGAUCUAGAAACUCAAGCAGGUACCCCUUACCCAGCCUAGGGGAACACUGAGGGAAGAAGGCUGCAUUCUUGGGCACCCGGGCUCAGCCGCUGGAUACCUGGAACUCCGGGAGAUUCCAAACACUGUUCAGGGGCCAGGGUAGGGUCACACCUGCCCAGGUCUUCCAAUGAGGAUCCAGAAGAGACCAACAGCUCCAGUCUGUACAACAAGAUGAGAAAACUGGGGCCCAGAGACAAAGAAACUUGCCGAGGUCAUGCAGCUGUUGGCACGGAGAGCUGAACUGGAAGCAGAGCUACUCAAAGCGCUUGUACACCUGCUGGGUCACAGCCUCCUGGAGGCAGGAAGGGGACUCACCAAGACCUCAUGUGCUCCCUGACCUGCCAAGGCCACUGAGCAGCAGAUGAGACUGAAGUUCAGAGAGAGUAGGUGACUUGCUCAGAGUGACACAGCAGGAAGUGCUGAGCCGGGAACUGGAGCUGCCGCCCAGCCCUCAUCACUGGCAUCCUUCGGUUCUCAGCUUAGAUGGUGCCAUCACAGAUUCCCGGAAUGUCAGCACUGUGAGAGACGUCAGAGAUCAUCCAGCCCAGCCCCUCGUCUGGCAGAGGAGGAUGCCCAGGGCAGUGGUAUGUCCAAGGUCACACCUUGGCUUGGAGCCCAACUCCAGGGUUCUUUUCAGGGCCAUCUGUAGUUCACUCUACUCGCCUCCCAGGCGCUUAUCUAAGUGUGAAUUUGCAGCCUGCAGUCCCUCAUGCCGCCUGGACCACCUCAGCUCCAGUGGAGACAUCUGCCCUCCCAGGCAAUCUUGAAGGCAGAGGUGAGGGUGUGGAUGUGAGUCUGGGGCAAGCUGGGGAUCAGCUGCACGCAGAGGACAAAACAGCCCAGUGGGUACCUAGUGAUGAAUCUUUCCCUGCCUGGUCACAGACAGACCCGUAGAACAAAAUCCCACUCCCCUUAACAGCCCAUUAAAGUGAUGCAGUAGGUCA
ensembl:lncRNA